GGUACGGGGGGGCAAGCGUUGUUCGGAAUUACUGGGCGUAAAGGGCUCGUAGGUGGCCAACUAAGUCAGACGUGAAAUCCCUCGGCUUAACCGGGGAACUGCGUCUGAUACUGGAUGGCUUGAGUUUGGGAGAGGGACGCGGAAUUCCAGGUGUAACGGUGAAAUGCGUAGAUAUCUGGAGGAACACCGGUGGCGAAGGCGGCGUCCUGGACCAACACUGACACUGAGGAGCGAAAGCAUGGGGAGCGAACAGG
rnacentral:rRNA from 1 species